CCUACGGGAGGCAGCAGUGGGGAAUAUUGCACAAUGGGCGAAAGCCUGAUGCAGCAACGCCGCGUGAAGGAAGACGGUUUUCGGAUUGUAAACUUCUGUUCUUAGUGAAGAAUAAUGACGGUAACUAAGGAGAAAGCCACGGCUAACUACGUCCAAGCAGCCGCGGUAAUACGAAGGUGGCAAGCGUUGUCCGGAAUUACUGGGUGUAAAGGGAGCGUAGGCGGGAAGCCAAGUCAGCUGUGAAAAUUACGGGCUUAACCUGUAGACUGCAGUUGAAACUGGUGUUCUUGAGUGAAGUAGAGGUUGGCGGAAUUCCGAGUGUAGCGGUGAAAUGCGUAGAUAUUCGGAGGAACACCGGUGGCGAAGGCGGCCAACUGGGCUUUAACUGACGCUGAGGCUCGAAAGUGUGGGGAGCAAACAGGAUUAGAUACCCGAGUAGUC
rnacentral:rRNA from 1 species